rnacentral:rRNA from 1 species
UACGAAGGGGGGCUAGCGUUGCUCGGAAUUACUGGGCGUAAAGCGCACGUAGGCGGCUUUCUAAGUCGGGGGUGAAAUCCUGGAGCUCAACUCUAGAACUGCCUUCGAUACUGGAAAGCUCGAGUCCGGGAGAGGUGAGUGGAACUGCGAGUGUAGAGGUGAAAUUCGUAGAUAUUCGCAAGAACACCAGUGGCGAAGGCGGCUCACUGGCCCGGUACUGACGCUGAGGUGCGAAAGCGUGGGGAGCAAACAGG